GUUCGCUUGGGCAGUACACAUACUGAGAUCGGAAUGAUCUGAAGAUUAGUGUGGCCCCUGGGCGAGGAUGACAUGCAAAUUCAUGAAGUGUUCCAUGUUUCG